CAUAGAGCGUGGACUGGGUGUGCUGGCACACCCAGGCACAACCGGACCACACUCUGCA
ensembl:miRNA mdo-mir-7248 mdo-mir-7248